ensembl:lncRNA
GGCUUUAUGUCCAACCCUAAUAUCAGGUGGGAAUAUUUAAAUAUUUUACUCUUCUGAAAAGGGGUUGGAUUAAUGACAGUACAUUCAUUAUUGUACUGUCAAAGUAUAAAUAUACAAUUAUACACUCAAAUAUUAAAAAGGCACUCACGCUAAUAAAUAAAUUAAUAAAUAAGUUAAUUUAAAUAGGGUAUAAUUUCAAUUCAUGUUGUGUAAUUCAUUUUAGUGUAAUGUCAAGCCCUAAUUUUAAAAGGACACAGGGAAACUGGAAAAACAUUUAAAACGAACGGUUUAAAUCGCACAACAGACCAGAGGAUAUAAAAGGAGCGCAGGCAGGAGAGAGAGCUCAUUCUGCUUUCGACAGCCAAACAGUGCACAUCUCCAGCAGCCAGCCAUUGUUUUGAGCGCUUGGAUUUUUGUUGGUUUUAUUUUCUUUCGUGCCUCACAGGCCUGAGGAAGACCUUUUAGGGUCGAAACGUUGCCUGAGGCACGUUUGAUUUUUUUUCAACCGGAAAACACGGUUUUUUUGUUUUUAGGGAUUUUCAAGCCCCGGUGCUCUCUUUUAGUUGUUUGCAGAAUUUUUUAUUUUUGUUUAUACUAAACAACCGAUUACACGGUUUUCUUUUAAGGGAUUUUUAAGCCUUCGGGCUCUCUUUUCGUUGUUUGGGACCGAAUUUACGGUAUUUUAGUUUAAGGGAUUUUUAAGCCUUUGGGCUCUCUUUUAGUUGUUUGGAACCGAAUUUACGGUGUUUUGUUUUAAGGGUUUUUGAAGCCUUUGGGCUCUCUUUUAGUUGUUUAAAAACAAGGUUGUUUUAUUUCAUUUAUAUUUACAAUAGUAAAUUAAAAACCACUCGUCAUGGCGGACGAGUGGCAAGUAGUCCGCUACGGAAGGCGACGCCAUCGUCCCUUCCUUGAGAACCCAGACAGGGAUCGGGAGUUCUCCCGUGGGAUGGCCCGUGCACCUUCCUUCUACCCUCGUAGGAGGAAUCAAUUCCCCUACCCUAACCCUAACCCCUCAUCCCCCACCCCUUGAGUGGACCCUAAACCUAACCUCCAUACCCCUCCUCCCCCCACCUCUCUAACUGCAUCUGUUACAUUCCAUUUGGAACUCCUCUGGGGGGGGUCCUGGACGCCUGAGAUGGGAGCAGGUAUGGUCUGUGCAUUGGAGCGCGGCCCCCUUCGGGGACCGUGCUCCCAACUUUGAUUUCCCCUAACCUAUCCCCCCCUCCCUGUCCCAACCCCAGAAAAAACAGAAAAAAGCCUAAAAAAAUGGAAAAACAAAAAACAGAAAAAGAAGCCUAAAUAGAGUGGUUACUAAGGAUGGGGGUGCCAGAAAAACAAGAUGAUAGACAGAGUGGACUAAGGAAUAGGGGGUGCCAUAAAGAAAAAGGGAUAGAAAAGAAAGCUCCCCAAGUAGGGUUGAGAAGAGAAAAGAGAGAGAGUAAGAAAGCUCCCCAAGUAGGGUUGAGAGGAAAAGAGGAAUAGAGAGAAAAAUAGAAAAAACUAAGUACAGAAAAAAUUAGAAAGCCAAGAAAAAACCUAAGUAAGAAGAAACAGAAAAAAGUAAGACAAGAAAGUCAGAAAGAAAAGCUAAGAAAAGAAAAAGUAUAAAUAGAGGACAAACCAGUCCCUACCCUCAUUGAGCCCAGCCUGAUGAAGGCGAAGUAACGCCGAAACGUCGCGACGGGCUCAAUAGAAAAACUAAUGGCCACUACUACCCAAUGAUGGGCAAUUUUUUGAUCCGGGGGCAUCAGUGCCCACCCCAGUCGAGUGAGCGUGCAUCCGGGGACCCAGACUUCUGCCUGGGACCCCUUUCUUUACCCAAACCCUAACAACAGAAAAAGAAAGAGUACAGAACAAAGAACAACAGAAAAAGACAAAGAGAGCACAGUAAGGUCACGAAAAAGACAAGGACAAGAUAGAAAAAGAACAAACUGAGAAACAGAAGUACAAAGAAAA